AUCGCUUCUCAGCCUUUUGGCUAAGAUUAAGUGUAGUGUCUGUUCUUAUCAGUUUAAUAUCUAAUACAUCCUCUACCGGAGGACAAUAUGUUAAACGGAAUUUUGUAACUAGGAGUCAGAAUAGGAGCUUGCUCCAUCCACUCCAUGUAUCAACCUGGUAUUGCAGUACCUCCAGGAAUGAUGCACCCCCU
ensembl:snRNA U2 U2 spliceosomal RNA